rnacentral:rRNA from 1 species
GACAGAGGGUGCAAACGUUGUUCGGAUUUACUGGGCGUAAAGCGCGUGUAGGCGGCUUGGCAAGUCGGAUGUGAAAGCCCACGGCUCAACCGUGGAAGCGCAUCCGAAACUGCUUCGCUCGAGUCUCGGAGAGGAAGGUGGAAUGCUUGGUGUAGAGGUGAAAUUCGUAGAUAUCAAGCAGAACACCUGCGGCGAAGGCGGCCUUCUGGACGAUGACUGACGCUGAGACGCGAAAGCGUGGGGAGCGAACAGG